rnacentral:rRNA from 1 species
UACGUAGGGUGCGAGCGUUAAUCGGAAUUACUGGGCGUAAAGAGUGCGUAGGCGGAUAUGUAAGUUAGAUGUGAAAUACCUGGGCUUAACCUGGGAGGUGCAUUUAAGACUGUGUAUCUAGAGUUUGUCAGAGGGGGGUAGAAUUCCAAGUGUAGCAGUGAAAUGCGUAGAGAUUUGGAGGAAUACCGAUGGCGAAGGCAGCCCCCUGGGAUAAGACUGACGCUGAGGCACGAAAGCGUGGGUAGCAAACAGG